rnacentral:lncRNA from 1 species
UUACGUUAAGUCUACUUAUGAUAACAUGUAAUUUUUAUAAUAAGCAUUCUAAAUACAAUAACAUCGAAAAUAAAGUAAUAAUAAAUGUAACUAACUGGUUAACUUAUAUAUUAACAGUAUAAUAAAUUAUUAUACUGUUAGUACGAACAUGCUUGACAACUACAUACACUCAUUUGAGCUUCACAUUGACCUUUAACAUAAGCUGCACGAUCAUGAUAUUUGUUACACUGAACCUGACAAUCAUCGUCACUUGUACAGGAUCCCCAAUUUUCGUGAACAAAAAGCCAACAUUGCCCAGCUGUCAACUCUGCAUGAGUUAAAAUAUUUUAAUUAAGAUUUGAUGAUUCAUUAACAAAAACAUGAUUCUUUUGUUUACUUCAUAUUUUUCAAUUUAUUCACAAAUGUAUUUUUCAAGAAGUUACAAGAAAACCACUAACACCUCUAACUGCCUUUUUAAAAAAUAAUAAAAAAAGUUUUAAACAAUCCAUUGAGUAAUGAAUUUUAAUGAAUGAUCAUAAGCAUUAAAAUGAUUGACAAUAUAAAUUUAAUUAAAGAACAUGAUGAGAACUAUCGUCAUUAAUUAGGUAGAAAUUAAAAUGUUUACAGACAUGAUUAAUUACUUUCAUUGAUUAGAAAAAUAAAGGAGCUUUCAUAUUAUAAAUUUAAUACUAACUUUUGCUAAUUCAAUUAAAAGUAAAUACCCACCUAGUGAUGCAAAGGUGAAGACCAUGCAAGUCAGAAGGACAAAGAUUUGUGAUGUAGUCAUUUUUGCUUCGCUCAAAUGAAUUAUAGUCACUAUAUGAAUAAGGGGG